rnacentral:lncRNA from 1 species
AGAUCCUAAGAGACUACUAAGAGUGACAACAAUGUAGAAAAUAGAGAGAACCAAGGUAGCUUAUCGAUCUAACCACUGGCAUGUAGAACAGUUUGCAACAGGGGAACUAUUUACAUUGUUAAACUCUUUAAAAUGAUGCAGUUGUCUUGCAAAGUUUUGAUCUUUUUACUCCCAAGUUAAUUGAAGAGAGAACGGGAUUUCACACGUGAACAAUUGGUUGUUCUCUUUUUCUUUUCC